AAUGGAUCUAAUGGAACAUGUGAAAGUUCUAUAAAUCCAGAAGAUCAAGCUAACGUGAAAGAUGGAGAUAAAAUUAACGAGGAAAAAGUAACCGAAACCGAAGCAAAAGGAAGCUCGAUGGCUGUCACUGAUAUGGAAUCUGGGAAACAAAUAGCCAAAGUUGCAGGCUCUGCAUAUUUUUCAACAAUCCAUCAUCUUCUCAAAAUUAAGCAUCUAUAUAUGCAUUGAUGUUGUAUAUGGUGACCGCUGAGCAAUGUCUUACCUUGUGGAUCUGACCCUCUAGUUUUUAAGUAUUACCUUGUGGAUUUGACCCUCGCCACGUGUCGAGCAAUGCCCCAGCCCAAACCCCUCCACACCUCAUAGUCUUAUGGACUUCAACUUUUAAAUUGUUAUUUAUUAGAGAUAGUUCGUUUAAUUUAAUUUAUUUCCUUCCAUUCACCAACUGUAAUUUUUGAAUUUUUGUUGAAGAUCCGAUCCACUUUUUUUCUUCCCCACUUUCCAAAUUUGAAGCAUUUGGAGUUUAAAGGUUCUUGGGGUCUGGUCUAAUCCUUGAUUUUCUUGAAAGUUGUCCUGACUUGAAACAUUUCUAUAUUGAAAAGCUUGUAGGUUCUCACUGGUUUGAACAGAAGGUUGUUCCAGCUUGUAUGCUAACAAAUCUUACAUCUAUCAAGUUUUCAAUCUGCAAGGGAUGGAAAUACGAUAUGCCAUUGCUGAAAUACAUGUUGGGGAAUGCAGAGGUGUUGAACAGGUGAAGAGUAGUGAUGCAUAGAGAAGCCGCAGAGAAAUGGUUGGUGAGUGCUUGUUAUUGUGAUGUAAAUGUGUGUGAUUUAUGUGGUUUUUAGUUAUUUUAAUGAAUGCCAAAUCCUACUUAAAUCUAGUUGGUGGUACAGAGAUUGGACCAGAAUGGUGUGAGGUAAAUGUUCAAGUACCAAUAAAAAAAGAUGAAAAUUUGGUAAGACCAUAUGGUUUAUUUUCUACAAUUCAAGAUUGUAUUGGUGCAUCCAUUGCAUGGCCCUAUCCAUUUAUCUCGGUAUGUAUUUGUUAAACUUGUGAUAUAAAUAAUUUUAAUAUCACGGAAUUUAAUGCUUAUACGUGGAUGGUUUAUUUGUAGGUAGUCCAUAAGAAUUGAGGACGCAUGAUGACUCAAGAUUUUAUGCUUCUUAUUUCUAUAAUUGCUUUUAAUUUCUUUGUUAAAUGUUAAGACUUUAUGUUAGAUAAUGUUAUAACUUACUUAUGAUUAGUGUUUU